rnacentral:rRNA from 1 species
GAUGAACGCUGGCGGCGUGCCUAAUACAUGCAAGUCGAGCGAACAGACGAGGAGCUUGCUCCUCUGACGUUAGCGGCGGACGGGUGAGUAACACGUGGAUAACCUACCUAUAAGACUGGGAUAACUUCGGGAAACCGGAGCUAAUACCGGAUAAUAUAUUGAACCGCAUGGUUCAAUAGUGAAAGACGGUUUUGCUGUCACUUAUAGAUGGAUCCGCGCCGCAUUAGCUAGUUGGUAAGGUAACGGCUUACCAAGGCAACGAUGCGUAGCCGACCUGAGAGGGUGAUCGGCCACACUGGAAUUGAGACACGGUCCAGACUCCUACGGGAGGCAGCGGUAGGAAAUCUUCCGCAAAGGGCGAAAUCUUGACGGAGCAACGCCGGGGGAUUGAUGAAGGUCUUCGGAUCGUAAGACUCUGUUAUUAGGGAAGAACAAAUGUGUAAGAAACUAUGCACGUCUUGACGGUACCUAAUCAGAAAGCCACGGCUAACUACGUG